rfam:Triticum aestivum genome assembly, contig: Triticum_aestivum_CS42_TGACv1_scaffold_094883_2AL
CUGUUACUUCUUUCGUCCGAAAAUACUUAUCAUUAAAAUGGAUAAAAAAAGAUGUAUUUAAAACUAAAAUACAUGUAGAUAUAUUCUUUUUUAUUUAUUUUGAUGACAAAUAUUUUUGGACGAAGGGAGUACAAA